rnacentral:lncRNA from 1 species
GGUGCAGCCCUAAAGGACAAAAAAUAAAAAGAAGUAAAUAAAAAUAAAUUUAAAAAAAACCUGUGGAAAUUAAUAACAAUGUUUUGUUUUAGCUUUUCCCUUUGAUUUUGGUGUUUUAAAUUUGAAUUCUUCUGUUGAAAAUGUCAAUACUAGUUUAAAUUUUGUUUAACCUGAUUUCUAAUGUUCUAAGUCUUGCCAUUAGAAAAACUCGUCAACUUCUUAUUCACGUAAUUAUUUUGAACAUUUUCCUAAUGUAUAUGUUCAUGGAGGAAGUUAGAUAGAGUUGGUUGCUAGGCCUCUUACCUCCUUCCCUCCCUUUUUUUCUUCCUCCUUUCCUUCCUUUUAAUUUUUAUAUUGAAAUAUUUUAGACUUUCAGAAGAGUUAACAAAAAUAGUACUUUUCACCCAACUUUUCCUAAUGGUUACACUAUAUAACCCCAUAGAAUAUUUUCCAAAACUAAGAAAUUGACAUUGAUAUAGUACUAUUAUUUAAAUUACUGACUUUAUGGAUCGAACCCACAACCUCAUGGUUCCUAGUCGGAUUUGUUUCCUCUGCACCACGACAGGAACUCCUGAAAUUAAUCAUUUUAAAAUGAACAAUUCAGUCGCAUUUGGUUGUGGCGUAACCCACCACCUCUAUCUAAUUCCAAAACAUUUUCAUCACCUUAAAAGGAAACCCAUGCCCAUUAAUCACUUGCUCCCAAUUCCCCCUUUUCUCAGCCUCCCACUCCUAAUCCAUCUCUAAGGUUUAAUCUUGGGUAGUUCAUAGUAAUGGAAUCAUACAGUAAGUAUUGUUUUUGUUUCUGGCUUCUCUCAGUGUUAUAUUUUCAAGGUCCAUCCAUAUUUUAGUAUUUAUCUAGUACUUCAUUUCUUUUUAUGGCUGAAUAACAUUUCAUUUUACAUAUAUACCUCAGUUUGCUUAUCCAUUCAUCCGUUGAUUGACAUUUGGGCUGUUUCUAGUUUUUUGCUAUUGUGAAUAAUGCUGGUAUGAAUAAACAUGUGUGCACAUGUUUUGUUGAACUAUUGGAUCGUGUGGUAGUUCUAACAAACUUUCUGGUUCAGGUAUUCUUUAAUUCUUUUGAUUUUCAUUUUAUUGACUUUAAUUUUCUUAUAGAAUAAUAGGGUACCAUGACAUUUUGAGCAAAAAUAUUCUUUUAGGUUUUGCAUGUCAGAGUGAGUUAUGUUUUGAAACCUGGAGGUAUUUGUCAUUCUGAUUAAGCUAUUUUUUUCUGGAUUUGAUUGUUGACAUACUUUACCUGUUUUUCCCAUUUAUAAUGAUAACAAGAUACAGUGCUAGAUAGAAUCCAUGUGUUUGCUGUGUUUUAUAUGUUAUCAGUUGAUGUUAUAUUGCUUUGUCCUUAUUUCGAACAGUUUAUCUUCCAACAUACAGGAAAUUUACUAGUUUAAGGAAACAUUUAUAAUAAAUACCCUCAAAGAACAGUGUAAGGAAACUUUUUAUACUUUUAAAUAAUUUUUUCAUUUCAGAUUUGAGAUUUUUUUAAUAUAAUUUUGUACUUUGUAAUGAUUUAUCUUCACAGGAUAGGUUAAUACAAUGCUGUCUUGAUUUUAAAACUUGUUUUAUCCUUUUCCAUAUAGAGGCUAGAGAAAGGAAUGAUAAUUCUACUGGAAGCUUGGCAAAAUGGCAGAUGAGAAAGAAAGUCCUCUACUUAAGAAGAGAUCAGAUCUAUAAAGGCUGUUCUUUAGUCCAGUUUUCCUUAAUUUUGAGUAACUGGGGAACUCACAUGUAGUCUCUGAAUAUAUUUCCACCAAAGAAGAGUAUGAGUUGGUUCUUCAAUGGCUUAAAACCAAAUCUUUUGUCUUCAGUAGGUCUUCUUCCAAAAAGGCCAGCAGCCUUUUAUGCCCAAACUCUGUUGGCCCAGGAGAUCUCCCUUUCCCCAUGUGGUAGGAAGCUCUGGUAGACCUGAAGCUUUUGAGUAGAGUCAAAGAAGCCUUGAACUUUUGGUCUGGGUGAGAAUUUCAGCUCUGGCAUUUUCAGCCUUGUUGGGUUUUAAGCUCUAGAGUAAAACUCAUGGCCUACUCUUGAUCUGACGCUAGACAUCUGAUGUGGACAUUGAUCCUGUAGCCCAAUGGUCUUCUUUGCAUUGGGGAGGAAAAGUUGUUGGAGUUUUUAUGGAAAAGGAGCAAAUGAAUGGACAGAGUAUUUGAGAACAGCUUGAAGCAUAGAAGCUUGUUUCUGUUAGCAAUUCUCAGAAAUAAAGCAGUAUGUGAGGGCCUUGACUUAUACAGGUCUGGUGACGGAACUUAAAGUAGAGAGAUACCUCUGAAGAGGUAGCAUAUUUCCUCUAGAUUAAUGUCUCUCCAUCUCUAGUAUGUAGACUAAUGGAGCAGAUUUGAACUUAGCACUUUUGUUUCUUGCAGUUCAGGUUUUUUUUUUCUCUUUUCCCUCAUGUCUAGGACCUCUGCUAGCUAGGUAAGUAUCUAAUGGUUUAUAGUGUCACUUGGGUAUGAAAGUGCCUUAGGCUAUUGCUGAGGUUUGGGCUGUUGGGGUGAUAAUAGUUAAACUUUGGACUGCACGUUUGGGAAUUGGAGUGUCUGUAUUCUGGGAUGCUUGGUGAUAACAAAGCCAUAUGUACUUAUAAACAUUCUUAUUAUUUUUGUAAACUCAUUUUUUUAGAAUUGAAAAUGUGUCACUUUUUUGAGUGUUCAAUUUUUAAAUAAAAAUGUUUAUGAAUUUUAGAUAUAUAAAGAGAUUUAAAUAAUAUUUAAGAAUCCUUUAGGUAUAGCAUGGUGACUUUAUAGUUAAUAAUAUAGUAUGGUGUAUUUGAAAGUUGCUAAGGGAGUAGAUCUAAGAAGUUCUCAACACAAGAAAAACAGUUGUAACUGUGUGUGCUAAUGGAUAUUAACUAGACUAAUUGUAAUCAUUUUGCAGUAUAUACUAAUAUCACUAUGUGUAAAAUAAGCUACAAGGAUAUAUUGUACAAUGCAGGGAAUAUAGCCAAUAUUUUAUAAUAACUAUAAAUGGAAUAUAACCUUUAAAAAUUGUGAAUUACUAUAUUGUUUACCUGAAACUUAUAUAAUCUUGUUCAUUAACUAUACUUCAAUAAAAAAUAAAAAUUAAAAAAUAUAUAUUAAAGUUGGAUAAUUUGGUAUACCUAAAAUUAAUAUAAUGUUAUAUGUCAAUUAUAUCUCAGUUAAAAAGGUAAAUUUUUUUAAAAAAUUCAAAUGAAUCAGAUAACUCAGUUUUACUUUUAAUAAUAGUAAUUGAAUAAGAACUUCAUCCAAUUUUAAAAAGGAAAGAUAAAAAAUUCUUGAUUUUUAUUAAAAAGGAAAAUUACAUACAGCAAUUCUAAGAAUAGUAAUGUUACCAUUUUUUUCAUUGUUAGUGAGUUGUUGAGUCAAUCUGAUAGCAUCAGGAGUACUGUAAUAAAAUGAAAAUUUUGUAUAUGAACAUAGUAUAAAAUAUGAAUGUUCAUUUCUUUAGUCAGAAGGUGGAAAUUGCUUUGUAGAAUGAAGUUUAAAAGGAAUAUGAAAUUCAUAGGUGCUGUACCGUAAGUCACCAUUAUAACACAUUUACCACUUUGCAUGUUAAGCCAGCAACUUAGACUUCAGAAUUACAUCAGUGGAUACAUGCAUUAAAGACGAUCCCUCUGGAAAAAAAGGAAUAAAAUUCCUCCAGCAACUUUAAAUCAGGUGUAAAGAGGGCGGUACUUUUGUAAAUACAGAGCCACUGUGUGAAAGCCCUGCUUUGAAGCCUGAGACUAAAUUCGAAAGUGUGGCAUAUUGUUUUCUUUUCUUUAAGGAACUCCAUUUGGCUUGUGUAGAGUGUUCUUCCCAACCCUUCCCUGCCCUCUUUGUGAAUUUUUCUUUAUGAGUAGGAGAGAAGUAAAAAUUAUAUUACCCAUUUGAAAUUAUUGCUUUAUUAUAUUACUGUUAAAAUUUAUUAAGCUGAUAAAUUAAAAAUGUCUUAUUUCAUCAUGUGCAUAUCUAUAUGUGUAUAUCCAUCAUAAUUAUCAUACUCCAAGUAUUUAUACUACUUCUACCCCAUUGCAAGCCACCAUUCUCUCUCACCUAGACUCUGUAGAAGUCUCUUAGCUGAUUUCUUUUUAUACCAGCCUCCCUCACCAACAAAUUUGUUCUCUAUGGAGCACCAAGUGAUUCUUUAGUAGUGAAUGUCAGAGCAGGCUACUCAAAAAUUCCACUUCUUGUUCAUUAAUUUCUUUUUGUUUUUAAUUUGAGUAUAGUUGAUUUAAAAUGUUGUGUUUUAGGUGUACCGCAAAGUGAUUCCAUUACACCUUAUGUUUAAGAGAUAGACAAUAUUUAAGAAAUAGGUCUCGAUAAUUGAUAGGUAUGGAAUAGCAAGGAUGAUGCAUAAGAGUCUACAUGGGAAGCUGGGUGGGAUGCUAUUUAGAGGUAAGGCACAGGUUUGGAGGUGGAGGGUUAUAGCUGUUUGAGUCCAGCCAGUGCUUGGAGUGUUAAAUUAGUUUCCUAGUGCUGCAGUAACAAAGGAUCAAAAUCUGGGUGGUUUAAAACAGUAGAGAUUUAUUAUCUCAGUUCUAGAGGCUAAAAGUCCAAAAUCAAGGUGUUGCUAGGGCCAUGUUCUCUCUGACUGCUCUAGGGGAGAAUUCUUGCUUGCCACUUAAGCUUCUGAUGUUUGCCAGUAGUCCUUGAAGUUCUUUAGCUUGGGGAUGGCCAUCGUUCCUUGGGUGUCUUUCCCUCUGUGAGAGUCUCUCCAUGUCCAGAUUUCCCUUUUAAUAAAGAUACAGUCAGAUUUGUUCAGGGCCACCCUGAUGACCUCAUUUUAACUAUAUGAUUUCCCUAGAACUUGUUUCCAAAUAAGGUCAUAUUCUGUGCUACUAGGGUUUAGGACUUCAACAUAUCUUUUGCUGAUGAAUUUUACUAAAAAUUUAGGCUAUUUGAUACAUUGAAGUAAUAAAGGGUAGGAGAUCAGGAAGGUGAAAACAAAGGUAAAUACUGAGUUUUCAUGCUUUACUGAGAGAAUGCUGGUGCCGCUGUAAGGAAUGGGGGGAAGGAAAGUACAGAUUCCAGACAAGAAGAGAGGAGAGAGGGAAGUGAAUUUUGUUGUGAGCUGGCUGAAUUGGACUUUAGGUGAUUGUCACAUAGCUUCAUGAUCUAGUCAGAGUUGAGGGAAGAGCUCUGCAUCUUUUUUUAUCUUUUUUGUUUUGGCUGGGGGGAGUUUUUUAGGGCUGCAACUGUGGCAUAAGGAAGUUCCCAGGCGAGUGGUUGAAUCGGAGCUAUGGCUGCCAGCUACACCACAGCCACAGCAAUACGGAGUCUGAGCCAAGUUUGUGACCUACACCACAGCUCAUGGUAACGCAUGAUCCAUAACCCACUGAGGAGGCCAGGGAUCAAACCUGCAUCCUCAUGGAUACUAGUUGGAUUCGUGACCACUGAGCCGCAGCGGGUAUUCUGAGAUCUGCAUCUUGAUCACAGCUUUGCUAUGGAAAUGUCUGGGUUCUCAGAGGAGGGAGGCCAGAGAGUCUGAGAUCUGGGUCUCAAAAGGAAGCUAAUGAGAGAAGGUUACUUGUUGAAGUGGAUGCCUUCAUCCAUUAUAGAAAAAAAAAAAAAA